AAAGUCGUAACAAGGUUUCCGUAGGUGAACCUGCGGAAGGAUCAUUAAAUGAUAGUACUGGCCCUAAGGUGUGGUAAUACAUGCCGGUGGGCUUCACGUCUAUUACCCUUGUUUUUCGAGUACCUAUGUUUCCUUGGUGGGCUUGCCCACCAAUUGGACACCCUAUUAAACCUUUUUAAUUUUUAAUCAGCGUCUGAAUAAACUUAAUAAUUACAACUUUCAACAACGGAUCUCUUGGUUCUG
rnacentral:misc_RNA from 1 species